GCUUAGAGUUUGAUCCUGGCUCAGAUUGAACGCUGGCGGCAUGGCUAAAACAUGCAAGUCGAACGAGAACCGGGCUUCGGCCCGGGGACAGUGGCGGAAGGACGAGUAACGCGAUCGAACGUACCCCGUGGUACGGGAUAGGCAUGGGAAACUGUGCGUAAUACCGUAUGUCCUCUCAGGAGGAAAGCUCCGGCGCCAUGGGAGCGGCGAUCGUCCUAUCAGGUUGUUGGUGGGGUAACGGCCCACCAAGCCGAAGACGGGUAGCGGGUGUGAGAGCAUGACCCGCCGCAUCGGGACUGAGACACUGCCCGGACUCCUACGGGAGGCUGCAGUAACGAAUAUUCCGCAAUGCGCGAAAGCGUGACGGAGCAAUGCCGCGUGCAGGAUGAAGCGGUUUCGCCGUGUAAACUGCUGUCAGGGGCCACUAACCAUGAAGAACCCCAGAGGAAGGGCCGGCUAAUCUCGUGCCAGCAGCCGCGGUAAUACGAGAGGCCCGAGCGUUAAUCGGAAUCACUGGGCUUAAAGGGUGCGUAGGCGGGCCCGUAAGCGUCUUGUGAAAUCCCACGGCUCAACCGUGGAACUGCAGGGCGAACUGCGGGCCUUGAGGAAGCUAGAGGCCGGCGGAACGAUAGGUGGAGCGGUGGAAUGCGUAGAUAUCUAUCGGAACGCCAAAGGUGAAGACAGCCGGCUGGGGCUUUCCUGACGCUGAGGCACGAAAGCGUGGGGAGCAAACAGGAUUAGAUACCCUGGUAGUCCACGCCCUAAACGAUGCGCACUAGAUCGAUGCGGCUCUGACGUCGUGUUGGUCGU
rnacentral:rRNA from 1 species